rnacentral:lncRNA from 1 species
GGGGGGGGGGGGGAGGGGGUGUAUGGUGCAGAGGACUAAGCUAUUCCCAAUUUUUUCUUGUUUUGGAUGAUCAAAUGUGCUAGCUAAAAACUCUUAUGUCUAAUUAUAUGUUGAAACAAUAGCUGAAAACUCUUCAUCCCUCAAAAUCGCUGUUGUCUUGCAAUGAAAGCCUCAACUGUUUUCUUGAAUUCUUCACUGCUCAUCUCAUCCUCACGAUAUGAGACUACUUUUACACUGUCAGUGUAUAUAAUACUGUGACAUCCUAUUGUAGCUGACCGGAUCAAUUCUUUUCUAGGUUUUAUAUCAUCCCCGGGACAAACUAAUGAAAUUCUUCGAAUGACUACGAUGAAAUUUCUUUUCUACUUUUCUCUGUACCAAAAUGCUCUGUUUUUUGCUCCGUUCACAAUAUGCCUCUUGUACUAAAAUGCUCUGUUUCCUCUGUUUCUUGAUCUGUUCACAAUAAGUCUCUUGUACUAAAAUGCUCUGUUUUGUCUGUUUCUUGUUUUGUUCACAAUAAGUGUCUCUUUUUGCAACAAAUUUUUGCUUGUACUCAUCAUACAAAUCGAUUUUAACGUUGUUUGUUGAAUUAGAAGAUGACUGUCGUGAUUUCAAGAAGAGAAUGAUGACAAUCACGUUUCCAAAAAAGAAGACGAAUCGGGGACUAAUAAGGGUGACACCAAGUCCCCUGAAAUAUUCUGUUGAGAGCUUGAAAAUGAGAGGCAAUUCAGUGGAAAAAUCUUGAGAUUGUGACCAAAACUAUGCAGAAUUCGAUGAAAUGGAACAAAGUUGACACUGUUUGACUUUUUCUGUACCUCAGUAUAGCGCUUGCUUUCUCCAGUUUGAUGUUGUAGAAAUUUAAGGAUUCCAUGUUUAUGUUUUUGUUUUUCACUUUCCUAAUAAAAAUUGGUUUCAAGUAAAAGAUAAGGGGGUUGUUUUUCCACUGGAAACACUAGUGAUUUUGGAUAAAAUAUGCAGUUUUGAUGAAGGAAAAGCUGUUUGUUUUGAAGUUUUGGAGUGUAUAUAUAGGCUAUUGAAG